rnacentral:rRNA from 1 species
GGGGAAUAUUGCACAAUGGGCGCAAGCCUGAUGCAGCGACGCCGCGUGAGGGAUGAAGGCCUUCGGGUUGUAAACCUCUUUCGUCAGGGAACAAGGCACUGCUUUUGGUGGUGUUGAGGGUACCUGGAUAAGAAGCGCCGGCUAACUACGUGCCAGCAGCCGCGGUAAUACGUAGGGCGCAAGCGUUGUCCGGAAUUAUUGGGCGUAAAGAGCUCGUAGGCGGCUGGUCGCGUCUGUCGUGAAAACUUCCGGCUCAACCGGGGGCUUGCGGUGGGUACGGGCCGGCUAGAGUGCGGUAGGGGUAACUGGAACUCCUGGUGUAGCGGUGGAAUGCGCAGAUAUCAGGAAGAACACCGAUGGCGAAGGCAGGUUACUGGGCCGUUACUGACGCUGAGGAGCGAAAGCGUGGGGAGCGAACAGGAUUAGAUACCCUGGUAGUCCACGCUGUAAACGUUGGGCACUAGGUGUGAGGCUCCUUUCCGGGGGUUUUGCGCCGUAGCUAACGCAUUAAGUGCCCCGCCUGGGGAGUACGGCCGCAAGGCUA